GUCACACCAUGGAAGCUGGUCACGCCCGAAGUCGUUACCCUAACUUUUCGGAGAGGGGGACGCCGAAGGUAGGACUGGUGACUGGGGUGAAGUCGUAACAAGGUAGCCGUACCGGAAGGUGUGGCUGGAUCACCUCCUUUUAAGGGAGACCUACCCACUCAAAUUACCGAAGACAAGUUAAAGUUGUAAAUAGGUAAUGAGUUGGUCAUCCCAGGUCGGUCGGAGAUUAGAAAAUAGGCUUUCAAACUAUUAGAAUGGUUCGGUAAUCUCAAAGUAAAAUCACAAGCUGAUAGUUAAGUACCAGUUCAGCAACUUAGCAUCAUAUAUCGUUAGCUAAGACUGCUGGGUAAGAGUCCAGCCAGAACCUUGAAAACUGCAUAGAGAAGCGAAUGUAUGGUAGUUCAGUCAAAAGUGAGCAGUGAACAGUAAUCAAAAGAAAACUGAGAACUGAAAACAGAAGACUGAGUAACAGACACCAAUG
rnacentral:misc_RNA from 1 species